rnacentral:rRNA from 1 species
CACUCCUACGGGAGGCAGCAGUGGGGAAUUUUGGACAAUGGGCGAAAGCCUGAUCCAGCAAUGCCGCGUGAGUGAAGAAGGCCUUCGGGUUGUAAAGCUCUUUUGUCAGGGAAGAAACGGUGAAAGCUAAUAUCUUUUGCUAAUGACGGUACCUGAAGAAUAAGCACCGGCUAACUACGUGCCAGCAGCCGCGGUAAUACGUAGGGUGCAAGCGUUAAUCGGAAUUACUGGGCGUAAAGCGUGCGCAGGCGGUUUUGUAAGUCUGAUGUGAAAUCCCCGGGCUCAACCUGGGAAUUGCAUUGGAGACUGCAAGGCUAGAAUCUGGCAGAGGGGGGUAGAAUUCCACGUGUAGCAGUGAAAUGCGUAGAUAUGUGGAGGAACACCGAUGGCGAAGGCAGCCCCCUGGGUCAAGAUUGACGCUCAUGCACGAAAGCGUGGGGAGCAAACAGGAUUAGAUACCCCGGUAGUCCCAUGA